UCGGGGUAGCUAUUCCCUAUGCAGAUUAUUAUGUGAUUAGCAGAUUAAAACCAAAGUUGGGUCCUGCCGGACAAGCCUUAGCACUACGCGAUUUAUCAAGGGGGUCCCCAUAACAACCCCGAACGUGUUAGGAGCGAUCAUUAUGGAAUCAAACACCGGUAACCGGUAACUAAGGCGGCAAUAACGGAACAAGACACCCGGCAAAAGGGCUAGGCCUCCCGUCAUUUACCUAAUAUAUAGAUACAUUAAUUAAAUAACAGAAAUUAAGAUAAUGAUAUCAAGCUCAUGGCAACUCAAGAGUUAUAUACACCUGCAACUACAAUGCUAACAUUAGUAGCUGAGCAAGCCUACCUAGCCAUGCAAAUUUGCUAGGAAAGAGUAAGGUGUUUGGGCUCAUGGCAUAUGAAGAGGCAAUAUACUUUCAGAGGUAGGCAGCGAGCAAUAUGACGUGGAAUCGAAACUAACAUAACAAGUCUAGAUAUGGGAUCAAGGUCAUGUCAUCUUGCCUGUGAUAUCCUCAGCUUGGAAUGGUUCUGG
rnacentral:lncRNA from 1 species